GCCGGCUUAGCUCAGUUGGUAGAGCAGCUGUCUUGUAAACAGCAGGUCGUGGGUUCGAGCCCCGCAGCCGGCACCA
rnacentral:tRNA from 1 species